rnacentral:lncRNA from 1 species
AUGACUGUUUCUUCCUUCCCAAUCCCUAGUUCAGGGCCUGACACAGAAGAGAUGCUUGAUGCAGGUGUGUGGAAUGACGUAAAAAGUCUCCUCAUGGAACCAAAGGCAAAGACUUGGGGAAGUGGGUCUGAGACAAAGGUUCUAUCUUUUUUUUUUUUUUUUUUCCUUUCAGCAUCUGAGACAAUCCCACUAUCUUUAAAAAUAUUUCCUAAAGAUUUUCAGUCUAUUGACAGUUACUCCACUUCCUUAUUUUCUCCAAAUGAGAGAAAAAAAGAAAGAAAAAAAUUCCAUUUCCUCUUCUUCACAUUUCACCUCAUUGGAAAUACAUCACUGGAAAGAUUUUGGCACCCAACUAUUCCCAAAGGAUAA